rnacentral:rRNA from 1 species
GUAGGUGGCAAGCGUUGUCCGGAAUUAUUGGGCGUAAAGCGCGCGCAGGCAGUUCUUUAAGUCUGAUGUGAAAGCCCACGGCUCAACCGUGGAGGGUCAUUGGAAACUGGAGAACUUGAGUACAGAAGAGGAAAGCGGAAUUCCACGUGUAGCGGUGAAAUGCGUAGAGAUGUGGAGGAACACCAGUGGCGAAGGCGGCUUUCUGGUCUGUAACUGACGCUGAGGCGCGAAAGCGUGGGGGAGCAAACAGGAUUAGAUACCCUGGUAGUCCACGCCGUAAACGAUGAGUGCUAAGUGUUAGGGGGUUUCCGCCCCUUAGUGCUGCAGCUAACGCAUUAAGCACUCCGCCUGGGAGUACGGCCGCAAGGCUG